UACACCGCUGACGGUUGAAACACCGUGUACCCGCCAUUACUGGUAAGGGGAGUGGAAAUGAAUCUGACACAGGACGCGUGGUAAAGCGGUCGCACCUGCCAUGCGUAGGAGAUAGAG
ncrna:unclassified sequences RT-4 RNA